UGGAGACCCCAAGGCCGGCUGAGGUGUGGGAAUCGCUCCUGGCCGAGGUCCGGCCUCGCAGGGUCCCCAGGCAGGAGCCUGUGGCGCCCCUGGACUUGCCGAUUGUGGUUAACCUUGGAGGGGCGAAAGUUUACCAAGAGCGGCCUGCGAAAAGACACGAGAGGAGUUGGGCGAUGCCUUGUCAAAAUAUGCGUUUUUCAUCACAGUGUGAGAAACGACAGCGAAGGGCAGCUUUCAGCCCUGUUAGAACAGUAACUGCUGUGUGUGUCCCAGCAGAAGAAAUGAGGGACAGAACUUUUCCUAGGGUUUACAGAUAGAGACAACUUUCCUUGGAGUUUUCCUUUGCACCCGUCAUUCAGACCAUUUUGAGGCACUGCAUUUUGGUCUCACCCAGUGUUGGAUAUUCUGCCAUUAUCUGAAAAUGGCCAUUAUUUGGACUUUGUGUUUCAGUAAUUGUUUAAGACAGUUUGAAUUUGAUACCGGUGCCUGUAAUAGCCUCACAUAACAAGAUCACAUGCCAACCAGGUCAGGCCAAGUAGCAAGCCUUGGCCCCAAGCCCUGGGCAAGAGCACUGUGUCACCAGGCUGCAGGGAUCCUUCCAUACCUAUCGCCGCUUUGUUCUGGUCUGCUUUUCACUUAGAGAGAAGGAAAAAACAGGCAUUCAAACCAGAAACCAGGAUUUUUUAAAAGAGUACCCAACGUUGAUUUUAUUGUGGUGUGUAGGUAACAGAUACGUGCAGGGACAGAACCAUGUGAAAAAGAAAUUUACCAGAAGAUUAGUCCAUCAACUCAUUGCUAAGGUAACUAUUUCUCUUCACAAAAUGAUACCAAAUUUAUUAUCUGAAGAACUCUGGAAAAAGAAGAGCUGCUGAAAACUAAGCACUGUUUAAAGUAAUUUUCUCAAUCAAUGUCAGCAGACAUGUGCUCUAAAAUAAUUUGUAUCUCAGUGGUGUCAAGGAACCCCUAAAAAGAGGAGUUAGGUCACUUGUAUCACUUCAAAGAUCAGAACAGCUCUGCUUGGGGUAAUCAUCGUGGUCAUCUUCAGGCUUGACCAGUCCAGCACUUGUCACUACAUCACAGCUCCACUUGCUGAGUGUUUCAGCCGCAGCAACCAGAAUAGCCCAGCAGUGCCCAGUAGAGCAGCAGUCACACCCAAGAACACAGACAUAAAGACAAAGCUUGUGGAUUGGCACCAUGAGUUGCAGGUAUUCCAGGGUACCAGAUCGGUGGCUACCUACCCGCGAAAGCUCCUGUGCCUUGGAUCCUUCAUUUUCCCUUUUCUGAAGACUGUUGGCUAUCAUCUCUGCUAAGUCAUCGUGUAACCGCUGCUGAUUCUCCCUAAAAUCAACAGGAUGGGGAAAAAAAUUCAGUGAUUCACAUGUUUUUGGUGAUCCUCAGGUCCCCAGAGAUUUUUAAACAUUUCUAUUCCCAUAUUUAUCUUAAUGACAUUCACACACUACUGAUAAAAAGUGGGGCCAGGACCAAAUUCUGGUUCUGAACUUAGGAACAGAAGAAGGAUUUUCAUGUGAGUUUUCCAGAUAGUAGGUCUGUAGCUGUGUCAUUAUUGACCUUAAAAAGCCAUGAUCACUUGCACGAAAAGGAAGACAAAGAGUCAAUCCUAAUCAAAACAGUUUGCAACUCUCAAUAUCAUUCCUUUAUGACACCAGCUCUCAAUAUCAUUACUUCAUGGCACCAGGACUUUAACUAUUCAACUUCAGGUGGCCUUCAGUAAUAGAGCUGCCAUUGUUUCAGAAACUUCUUCAGUGUUUUUGGCUUUUGCUGGAGUAUCCCAUAUAUGACAAUUUUGAGGGGCAGUCAUAUAUGAGGAAGUGAAAACAAAAGCAUCACUGUGAUCCAGCUCAAGAGGUGCUUUCAAUUGUUGAAUUCCAGCAGACUGACAAUGCAAUAAUUCUGGUAGUUUCAACAGAUCAUAUUAAUUUUUAAAACAGAGUUCUGAGUUUACAAAAGAGAUCUAUCAUGAGGUAGCCUUGACAGUAUUUCCUGCUCAGCCCAAACACUUGUACUUUCCAUUUAAAAAAAUAACAAAGCUCAUGAGAUUCUGUAGCAGAUUAAAAAUUUCAUUAUUUCUGGUUUGCAAAUGCCCUGAGAAAACCCUCAUAUUCCACUUAAUCUCCUCUUUUAGGGAAUAAAUGGACAGAGAAUUUUAUUUGUGCAAAGAUCACACUGUAAGACUCAGAACUUACAGUAGAAGCAAGCUGUAACAUUUACUUAUGUGUGUCAGGACAAGAGAUCCCCAUGUACCUGGCAAACUCCAAUUUGCAGUAUCAUUGCUUCAAUUUGUAAUGAAACAUUGUCAUUUCAAAGCAGAUGGCAACAAAUUCCCACUUAGUGAAGAGAGACUGUACACAGGUGUUUGAAGCAAAAAGUGAGGAACUUCCACAUUUAGUGAGUUUGCAGGAAAUAAAGAGGUACUCAUAUGCAAAAUAUACACUAAAAAAUGCAGCAAGUUAUCCUGACUUCACUUUUGCAUAGUUGCUCAAAAACAUCACUUCCACCAUUGCUAUAUUUUAUUCAAUUCUAAUGCAAAAUGAUGGCUCAGUUCCAGAACAUCAACCUGUUGGUUUUUUUGGGUUUUUUAUUACUGAUAACUUCUCUAAAUGUUAGAAAGUAAGCUCUUGUUUAAUUUUUAAAGGCUUUAUUCCUGUGCAGUACUACAGUAACUUGGUCCACCUCUUGUAGCAGAAUAGUGCUUGAAAUCCUGUCAGUUUCAUUCCUCUUACAAAUUCUUCCACAAGAGUUCACAGGCACAACAGAGCUGCACACUCAGUUGUGGUUAUCCUCUUCCUGUAGUGUGACACACAUGUGCCACUCAGACUAAACUUGUGGGAAUAUUAAUGUUUUUUAUUUUCCUGUCCAUCUCUUGCUUUUAUCACAUCAGCAACUUGUCCUGUAAGUUCCAAGUUUCCAAGGCAAAGAACCUGCUAAAUAUUUAUGUAGACAACCUUCAGCACACACAGAGUCUCAUGUAAUGAAUAUUUACAUGUUUAUAUGCAUAUUCACUAUCAAGCCUCUAACAACUGAAGGCAAAUUGAAUGGUAUACAAAAUCCACAAGUACCAAGGAGGAACAAUAAGGGCUAAAGUGCAAAGAAUGGGAAUUUCUCCUUCCUUUGCACAUAAAAAGACCAUCUUACACAGAAGGAGGUGUUGGGAGAUUGUAUUUCUUGUCCUCAGUACCCGUCAACCAGUAGGUAAUUUCUGUUCCUCUGCCCUAAAGAAGAGAAAGCACAAUGUUGGGAUUAGAGUGCAAUUUCCUGUAGUUAAUUUACUUAAAUAAUACUCUCUUGCACGUUGCCAUAUUUCCUUUGCUUAUUUUCAGUAACUGAUGCUGACAGCAAAGGAUUACAAAUUAGAUGUGAGAAGAAGAAGGAUGGGACAGAUGCAGCUGCACACUCAGUUCCUUGUUUCAUGACCUGAGACACAAGUUGUGGGAGAGCUAAAAUUAAAUCCUUACGCAAGCCUGUGGAUUCCAUCCGCGAAGCUGUGUUUACUGUAUCUCCAAACAAACAGUAACGAGGCAUUUUUAUUCCAACCACACCAGCUGCACAUGGACCUGGAAAUGGGAUGCAGAGAGGUAAAAAGGGUGAAUCAAGAGACUUGAUUUAUUUGGCAGGUAUCUCAUUGCUGCAAAGCAGUGCAGUGCCUGGGGGAACUCUGCAUUCCUCACCAAUGGUAACACUUUCUACCUCAUUUCCCACAAUAUCUUGUGGUCUCCCGCUACAAACCAAGCCUAGCUCUGUUAUUCUUGCAUAAUCCAAUAAUAUAAUAAAAAGGUCACAGCUGCACAGUGUUAAUUGUAUUUAAGCGGAAUUUCUGUGCAGAAAAAAAGAAGUACAUUUAUUAACUGUCAUGUUUGGAAGCAAGAGAAAAAAAGAAUAAGCUUCAUUAGGCAGGGGUGAAUAGUCGUGCUUCAAGAGGCUUCCCAGUGCCUCAGUCACUUUCUCUGUGUUCCUCCCCUGGCAGUUGGUGUUGAAGUGGUUGAGGAAUUUCGCAAAGUUGUUGCGCUGGAGUUCCCCUUUGACAAAAAGUAUUUUUAUAGAUAAAUUAAAACAUUAAGUCCCACACAGACUCAAAAAAAUUUUGCCUCUAAAAGUACAAAAUACAGGCUUGCAUUUUUUGCCUAGAUAAGCAUAGCUGGCCAUGACUGAUCUCCACUUCAGUCAGAGAGAAAUAAGACGUGAAGGCUUAUUUGAUACAAUUGGUUUAAUUACACCAGGAACAGUGGCUGUUGAUCAUGCUAGCUACUGUCUUAGGCUGUCAAUUAAUGGGUAUGGGCUCUUUCACUGCAGCAGGGGCAAAAACAGUGACUUAUUUACUUCUGUUACUCUUCCUCUGUGAACAUUUUUUUCCACUUGAUUCUUCAUGAGGAGGGCAAUUGUGUAUGGUGUAUUACCACAUCUUGUAUAGGUGUUAAUUUAGUGCAAAACCAGGCAACAACAUUGUCACUGUUGAUCUAGCAUUACUGUGUACCAGAGUGAAUUCCAAUGCGAAUCCAAACAGGCAGCCCUGGCAGAUGUCUCAGUUCAAAAGAUCCCAUGAAGCUGAGGAUGUCCAGAGCCAUCAUGGAGAUGUCCACUGCAUGCCGGUUGCCAUUCCUCUUCGGUAAACCACUCACCACCAUGUAAGCAUCACCAAUGGUCUCCACCUGUGGAAAUAAAAUCAGAACUCACUAUUUCCAGACAUAGAAAAGUACAUCUUUAGUUAAAAGCAGAAAGAUUUUAUCAGAUCCUCUUGUUCAUGACUAAACAUGUCUUCCCCUGAGAACAGGAUUUUUUUAGUUUAAGGUAGCUGACAUAAUUUGGGUAUAGGAGUGUUUAUAACUAUACCCAGCAUUCCAAUUAAUGAAUGUCUGACCACCUACUGUAGGAAAUUUGAUAUAAGCAGGCACAGUGAAAGCAUAUUUAAAUUAAGUAAUCAUUUAAAUAUGACCUGUUUUUCUCUCUUUUGCUUUGCUUAGAAGGCAGAUUCCCAAAUCCACCACAUCAUGCAGUUUGAUUUGUGUGUCCACUGGUUGUAAAUGAGCACAAGUACAGAGCUAAUCACCUUGUAAACAUCAUGAUGGUCAAGAAUGUGGUCAAAGUUCUUGUAGAUAUCGUUGAGCAUAUCUACCACCUCCAUAGGGGUGCUGUAUUUGCAGAGCGUGGUGAAGCCAACAAUGUCACUGAAGUAGAUAGUGACUUCUUCAAACAGCUCUGGCUCUACCAGGCCAGUCUCCUUCAAAGACUUUACUACUGGCCUGUGGAAAUAGAGAAGGCAGGAAUACAGAUGACUAGGGUUUACUAUUAAAGGUCUUUUUUUCAUGCAAUCCAAUCACAGUAGGAUUUCUGUGUAGGAAACAUUAAAAAGUUCGCUGAAAACUGCCAUUGUAAUCACAUUUUAGAUGUCCACAAUGCCUUUCAGCCAGGGACCUCAAAACACUUGCUAAUGGUAAUUCAUGCACUACAGACUUCCAAAAUUCAAUCUAUGUGUGAAUAGCCAUGAGGAAACUGAGACACAGGCAACUAAGUCUCUUCGUUAAGAUCAGAAACAGGGAUAUUGAGUCAAAUUUAAAACUGAAAUUCUGAACUUCCUGAUAUGUAGACCUACAUUCUACUCAUACAAUAAGAACAGACAUAUUUUUCAGUUUUCCCAGCACAGAAGUAAUUUCAUGAUAAUAAUUACAUCAACUCAUCCUGAUUUCAGAUGAGGUAUCUUAGUCUGGUAAUUUAUGGAAGAAAAAUUCUAUACCAUAAUAGUCAAUGUCUAUUCAAGAGGGAAUUUGUUUUUCUUGCAAUUCUAAAUCCAGGGAAAUAUGUGUUCCUAGUGGUGAAUCUAGAAGACAAGAACUGAAAGAGACCCAGAAAAUUAUGGGUUUUGCACAAUGCUGUGUUCCAUCUACAAUGAAAUGGUUACAGAGUGGUAGUAACAACAAAGUGUGGAAGCAGACAUGAAUUCCUUGUUGCACCACUGUCUACACAGCCAGAUCAUUCCUGAUUCCCCCCAAAACUGUAUUCAACACAAUUUUUAUUUUUUACAAUGAGUCAUAAAAUCAAUAACCUGACUACUGAAAUACCCUUGCAUAGUUUUACUAUUCCAAAUGUGUGCAAUACCAAAAUUACUGAUAUUACCAAUAUUAGAAUGUCAAUAAUACUUAUCCUAUAGCAUACUCUGAAGAAUCCAUCUAACUCAGUAUGGCCCUCUCUUGCUUUGCUAAACCCCAGCCUGAAGCUGGACUCCACUCCUGCUCUUCAGCUGAAGACACUCCUAACCAGCAAGGUGCCUGAGCAGAGCAGAGCUCUGUGAUGUGGGACCACUGUAGAUCUGUGUUCCCUGGAAGGCAGUGAAAGAGAGGUUUGUGCUGGAAAGGGGGAUCCUGUGCAUGAAGUAAUGUUGAGCAAGAUAAUGGGUCCCAAUACCAUCUUGGCAUGAAACUCUACUACAGUAUGAAAAGCUCAGGGACAGCUGCUUCUUCUUUCUCACAGGAUUAGAUUAGAUUAGAUGGGAAGAAAAUAGAACAUAAACAUUAAUCCUAUCCCCUACUCUGCAAUAGUCGUGUGUGUGUGUAAAUAAAAUGCCAGCAAAAAUCCUCCUGGCCAGUUACCUUGGAAGUAACAUGAAAUUAAGCCUGUCUGCUCUGUCUCUCUCUGCUUUGUACAGCUCUGUCCUUUCCUCCACCAGGUGUUCCAGGUUCCGGGAGUACAGCUGUAGACGCCGGAUCAGGGUAUCCAUGUAGCUCUCAUUGGUCUGGCCAUGGAAAUUACUGCAAAUAACAGAAUUACACAGGAGUCUCUGAUAGAUGGACAUUGUUGAGAGCAGCUAAAAGGAGGCAAAAAAGCAGCAGCAGAAAACUUCUCCAGUGCUUGACUUCCCUGUAGUUCGAAUACAAAGUGCCUGAAGUGCAUCAUUCUUUUGCUUGCUUGGAGGCCUUUUGUAGAUGAAUUGAAAGUCUGUAAUCCACACUUGUCAGCUGGAGUUUGUAAUUCUUAAAGCACCCGUCAAUCACCUAACCUUGCUAAUAUUGUCUAUUCUGGAUUACCUUAGGUAACCCAGGAACAUUCAUUUAUAAAAAAGCUGAGAAGAUCAGAUCCUGAGAGGAAGCUAAAAAUAGUAGGUAGAAAAUUGCACAUUAUGUUUAGAUGGGGACUUCAGGAGAAGAAUUAAGACAAUUUGGGGCUGUCUGUUUAGAAGACCGAAGAAUACAGUGGAACAAUGAACAGCCCCAGGGCUAAUUUUACUCACAAAAUCCUGAAGAUUCAAGCCUACUAACUCCUGGAAGCAGGAGUGUGGUAACAUGAGCUACUCAAACCUCUGUUUGUCUGGGCAGCCUGCACCCACCAAAGCAGUCUGAAAGAAAUUGGGACCAGGCUGACUGGAAGAGUCAGAUUAGGAUUGUAUCCAACAGGACUUCAAAAUCACUCCUACUUUAAACAAAUUUUGUAUCAGGAAUUCAUCAUUUUAGACCCACCCAUACUGCAUGCAACAAGAGGUAGCCUCUUUGCUUUUGUAGGAUGGAGGCUUAGGAGCUGAACCAGGAGGCCUUCAUGUUCAGCUGCAGAAAGAUUAUUCAGCUGACACAUUGUUAUGCAUAAUACUGCUGUCCUGCCCAUGUAGAAUGUAAAAUGGUGCUGUUGGGGUUUGUUGAUUAGGAGAGCCUUAAAAACUGGGGAGCAAUGUCCCAGGAGAAGUGAUUAAAUCCUCAUGGUUUGGUCAUUGGAAUAAUUAAUUCAGACCGAAUUCUGCAGGAACAAUGCAGCAUUGUCCAGGUCCCCUGCCAGUGAGGGGGUACACUAAAGAAACUAGGAGACAGCAUAGUUGGGACAGGUGACCCAGACUAACCAAAGGGAUAUUUCACACCAAAGAACAUCAUGCCUGGCAUAUAAACUGGGGGAAGUUACCUGGAAGGGAGGAUUAUCUGUGUUCAGGAAGAGACCACUGCUAAAGAUGACAGUCUUUGUAUGAUCACAGAAGCAGAGACAAUAUAUACCCUCAGAAGAGCUGAUGAUUCUCAGUUCAUGAUCAUAAUACUGCUGCACUUGAAACGCUGCAUGAAAUUCCAAGCAGUUAGAAAAAAAUUUAUGCAGAGUGUUGGACUGAGUUGAAGAAAUGGAUCCAUGCAAUGAAAACAUAAAAACCUCAUGGUGUUUUGACUCCUACAGUGUCUCAAGAGAAAUACCAUCUUCUAGAUUGAACUUUUAUGUCACCAAUACCUUAAAGAAAUAUAAGAGUAUCCCAAGAAAGCCAAAGAUGGGUAGUAAAGUGGAAAAAUUCUGAAGACUGGUGUGAGGCUUAUAUUUCUGUGUAUGUAUAGGAAUCAGAGCUUUUUAGCAGAUGCAAGAACACUGAGCCUUGCUGGAUCUCCUCCCUUGAUUAUUAACCUGUCAUAACAACACCAUGCAUACAAACACUACUUGGCAUAUACCAGAGCUCACACUAGGGACAACCACACAGGUCUGUAAGGUAAGUUAAUGAAUGGCUCUUCAAGGAGAGAUCAAAGGCAUUGUCCUAGUGGGAAAACUGUUCAAGGACAAAGAAACGGAAAGCCAAAGGGGUUGGUACCUUAGAAUCAGCAAAGAGAUGAUCAGAACUAGAAUCACAAUUCCCGUGAGUGUAAAGACAGCAAUAGUCAAGAUGUGUGGGCCUGCAGAAAAGAAAAAAAUGAAAGAUAAAUAACUUCAUGAAGAUGCUGAAAAACAAUAUUAUAUUUAAGAAAUUACCCUCACACGUGCAAAUCACCAUAUCUGACCAAGGAUACUUUUUAGUCACACCCAAAUUGAGAGGUUUUGGUAAAGUCCAGCGCUGCCCUUGGGAUGACACUUGCCUCUUUCAAUGUGGGAUGAAGCAUGACCCAGAGCAGUGCAGUCUUACAUCCCCACCUGAGGCAUGGGCAAUCUGUGGGGAUACCCAGGCAAUGGUGCUACUGUGUGGACUGUACUCUUCAGAAGGAAAUUAAUAUGCUACAGAGGGAAAUUAAUCUGGUGGCAGCACAAAGACAGUAAAGUGUCCUUGGAAGCUGCCAGGAGCCAAACAUUUUGAAAAUCAUGUUGUUCAUGUUCUGAAGACUUAGGCCCAAAAGCACACCAGGUUCUAAUCCUGAACAGGCAGACAGAAAGGUUGGGACCUGACUAAAGUUUCAAUGUUGAUUAUCUUACGGUGGAAAAGCAAACUGAAGCUUCUCUCAUGUCUGUUCUUGGAGCUCAGGGAUACUGGGAAGGAAAGUUGUCAGCCACCAACUUCCUUUGAAGAAUAACAGGCCAUUAUCACAGAGCUUCAGCUGGUGGUCACAUGUCUAGAGUGAACCUCCUUUACUGACAGCUUCAAACAAAAACAUACUGAAGGGAAUAUUUGAAGGAUAUUUCAGAUCCACUGACAAUACAGCAUGUUAUGGGGCCCAAGGGAUGGAUGAGAAUGGGACUGGAGCAACAUAAAGAAGACAGGAGCAAGAAAGUACAAAGCUCAUGGAGCUGGUACAGGGAGACCUUGUGGCUGAUGUGUGCAGUGCUGCUGUCUCUGCACAGACAGCACUCAUGGUCAUACCAAGGGAGACCAGAGAUUUGACCAGAGAUGAAAAAUGAAAGCUCCACUGCAAUCCCUCUGCUCUUCCCAGAACUAACUUGAGUCUUAUCAAAGCUGCUGCAUCCCUCCUCCUGGCAACUCCCAUGUUAAACCAACAAAAACCACUAUUCCUGCCUCUCUUAUGAGAGAUAAAGCUUAAUUUGAGGGCAUCUGAUUUACUUUACUAAGGAAUAAAAAUGUUUAAAUUUUACCACCUUACUGUGAAUGGACUCUUAGUUAGCAGACGUUGUUUAUCUCUCCAGUUAUUCUUUGCCUAUUCCCUAAUGGAGGCAAGCAAUACAGCAAAUUAAUAGGACAACUUUAGCAGAGACUUUUAACAGCAGCAUCUCUGGAUACCCACUGAUGGAAUGACUCAGGUGAACACUAACCCACUGUGCACUAACCCUUGCAAUUACUGCCACUGUAAUAAUUUUUAUUCUGCACAUCAUAACCUGAAGCAUGUGCCCUUCCAUUGCCAAUCACCAUGUAGCAGCAGUCUUAA